rnacentral:rRNA from 1 species
AAUUUUGGACAAUGGGGGCAACCCUGAUCCAGCCAUGCCGCGUGUGUGAAGAAGGUCUUCGGAUUGUAAACACUUUAAGUUGGGGGGGAGGGCCUUAGGCUAAUUACCUGGAGGUUUGACGGUUCCAACAGAAUAAGCACCGGCUAACUCUGUUCCAGCAGCCGCGGUAAUACAGAGGGUGCAAGCGUUAAUCGGAAUUACUGGGCGUAAAGCGCGCGUAGGUGGUUCAGUAAGAUGGGUGUGAAAUCCCCGGGCUUAACCUGGGAACUGCUUUCAUAACUGCUGAGCUAGAGUACGGUAGAGGGUAGUGGAAUUUCCUGUGUAGCGGUGAAAUGCGUAGAUAUAGGAAGGAACACCAGUGGCGAAGGCGACUACCUGGACCGAUACUGACACUGAGGUGCGAAAGCGUGGGGAGCAAACA